rnacentral:rRNA from 1 species
AUGUUGUGGGAAUGCUUCCAAAGUUUGUGGGUGCUUGACCUGCGCCACCCGGAUUGUGAUCAGAUCUUGUCCGCGAGGGUAAUGGAUCUCAUGAUCCAGCUGAGGGAUCUAAACGUGAUGGGAGCCAGGAACUGGGACAUGAGCCAUCUACAGGGACGACUGCAUAACAUUCGCAAGCUCCGAGUAACAAAGUCCACCUGCUACUUCAACAACAAUGUGUUCUCAGAUAUGGGGAACAUGGAGCUUCUUGAUUUUUCUGGAAAUAUCAUCAGAAAACGCAUGAAAACCUUAUCUGGGCCAGAAGGCAACAAUAGCCUCAAAACUGUGAUUAUUGGUGGAUGUGAUUGGUUAAAGAUUAUCUCUUUUAGGGGAUGCAAAGAAUUGAAGAACCUGUUCUUGAAAGGAUCAUUGGGGAAUCUCAAUGAGCUGGACCUCUCAGGCACAAGAGUAAAAACGCUCGACUUUGGAGGAGUGGAAACCAGUUCAAUCCCCAAGAAGCUUAUCUUGCUAGGCUGUGAGAAGCUCCGGGCAAUAUUGUGGCCUCAGAAGGUAGUAAGGGAAGGAUGGUUUGGUGUGCUGCUGAGUAUCGACACCAUGUCGACAUCAACAUCAGCUGACGGAGGGGAAGCACCACUUGCUCAUCCACAUGUCGAUCCAUCCAUCCAACGACAAAAAGAAGAAAUAUUUAAGGCUCGAUGGCGGAUUUCUCUCAUGGAUACAAGGUUCCUUAGGUCGCUUUCUCCUGUAAGAUGGUAUUUAGGAGGCUCAUCCAUACAUAUUGAUGUCUGUGAUGCAGCUACCGUCGGUGGUAGCAACAUCCAAGGAACAAGCAGUGACGAACUAGUGCAAGUCCAACCGCAUACAAGUACCUUAAUGGACUCGAAGUAUAGAGAUAUACUGAAGGACGGCCCAGUUGCAACAGUGAUGAUGCGGGACUGCCCCAAGAUAUUUGUAAGGCAAUGGACCCAAGUGGUUGCAUGUAUCAUAAAUGUGAUCAUGCACGGGCAGAGCAACAAACUCUUGGAGGAUAACCCGUCCAUCACCAGUAUCCCUGGACAGGCAGAUACUUGUGCUUUAUUAUUGCCUCAUUUUUUAUGUGAAGCGGCUACAUCACUGCAUGUGUACGAUAACCCGGCCAUCACCAGUAUCCCUGCACCACCCCAAGGAUCAGGAUGGAGAAGUAUAAGAUGGUGUCGAAUGGAAAGGUGCCCCAAGUUACACACGGUCUUCACUACUCCUGAAGGCAGUAAUGUGAAGAGCUUUUUCUGGCUGGAGAAAUUCUGGGCCUCCCAGCUCCUCUCUGCAUGCUACAUCUGGGACAGGCCAACCCAAAGCUACUUUUAUAACCUGAACCUCUUGCAUCUGAACCAUUGCCCCAGGCUCGUACAUGUUCUCCCCUUCUCCAAAUGGGAGGGAGACACCUUGGGUGCACUGGAGACCCUCGAGAUAGUGUACUGUGGUGAUCUCAGGGAGGUCUUCCCUUUGGACACUCAGCUUCAAGAGCAGGAUAAAAUUCUAGAAUUUCCAAAGCUGAGGCACAUCCACCUGCACGAGCUCCCCAUGCUGCAGCGCAUUAGUGGGUGUAGGAUGUGGGCGCCUAAACUAGAGACCAUCAAGAUCAGGGGCUGUUGCAGCCUCAAGCGUCUGCCAUUGGUCGGACGCAACACCAUGCCGCCCAAGGUGGAUUGCGAGAAGGAAUGGUGGGACAACCUGGAGUGGGAUGGGUUGGAGAAGUACCACCAUCCUUCCCUCUAUGAGGCGAGCCACUCGUUGUACUAG